AACCCAUGGUGAGAGCACCUUCUCAAUAAAUCCUUAUAUCUCUCCCAUGCAUCAUAAAGUGUUUCUAAAUCCAUCUGCACAAAAGAAGAGAUAUCAUUCCUCAACUU
rnacentral:snoRNA from 1 species